CUAAAUGUCAGAGAGGGACUAGAAAACCUCUAGGACAGAAACCCAAGCAAUUUAGAGUUUGAUUUUCUUUUGAGUGUGCUUCACUGCUGUUUACUAACCUCAAAACUGUUUUUCUUACAGAACCAGAAGUGCAUCCACACCACAUUGGCACAACAUGCUUACGACAUGCUCUUGAAAGCACAGUGAAAUCUGUGGGUGAUCGUUUGGGUCAAAUAGCUGUCCACGCCUAUGUACCUAAAGGUGAGAUAAUGACACUAACAACACAAUGACAAUAACAUUCAGUACAUACAGUAAGCCCUCUGUAUAAUGUAUCUAUAAUACUACAACAUAUCUGUCUAUAAGGCUUGCCUUACGGUUGAUGAACUGUAUUUUAGAAGCUGUUUUGAUACAUGUGAACUCUGUGUGGCCUUGACUAACCAACUUUCUUCCUAAAAUGCAUAUAGAAUUGAAGAAAUGUAUUGCUGCUUGUGAAACUGCCAAGAAAUGUUAAUUCUGUCUUUAAUUACUUACCCUCAUGCCAUUCCAAACCCCUGAGACCUUUAUUCAGAGCACACGUUCACAAGCACAGUGCAAUGUAUACUCCAAAUGCCUGAAAGCAACUUUUCAGUACAUCAGUAUACAUCUUCUCUGCACAGUCCAUGUGAAUGUGUGCCUUACUUUGCAGACACUGAAUAUCUUGCGAUGUUCAGUUUUUAUCCAAAUUAUUCUAAUUUGUCUUCCAAAACUGAACAAAAGGGGGUUUGUAAAAAUGUGAGUGUGAGUAAUUAUGACAGAAUAGGCCAGUGAACUUGUUAAAAACGCAGUUCCAGCCUCAGAGCAUCUACCAGUUUCAGCAAUUAACCCAGGAGUGCCAGCCAGUGUCGGCUCCAGCCCCAGAGCGCCUGCCGAUGACGGCUCCAGUCCCCGAAGCACCUGCCAUUGACGACUCCAGCCCCAGAGCACCUGCCAGUGUUGGCACAAACUUUAAAUAAAGCUGUACUUUAUGAAUGCAAAGAAAAUUUUCAUAUUGCAAGUGCAUUUAGUGUCUUUAAGAUAAAUCUUCUACUAUUUCCAAACAUCCAGCAACAUUUUUUUAAAAAUAACACAAAUUUAAUCAAGUUAUCUACAAAAACAGUGUUUGUAGCCCAAGGUAUUUAUGUCUUGAAAAUAUUAACUUCUACUUUUUAUCUUUGUAAAUUUACCGGGCAAAGUACUCCUCAGAUCAUUUAUUUUACCCUGUUAAAAAUGACAAUUUUUGGACUAGAUGGAAUUUUAGCUGUUUACGCCUAUGAUGUAAAUGCAAAUGAGCUGGUUCUCCCUGCCCACUCCUAGGGAUGUUGGUUUAGAAUAAAACCAAACUUUAGGUGUCAGAUGAGCACAGCAAAAUGACAAAUAGAGACUGAGAGACUGAUGAAGCAGAAAGCCACAGUCACGAGUUCCAAAGUUCAGACCGAAGCAGGAAGUUUCCAAAUGGUUAUUUGAUGUAGUUGUUGUGAAGUUUAUUCAGCCUUCCUGCAACGAUAAAUGAACCACACAAAAAUGCUGUUACAAUGCUCAAAGUGCAAGCACAGACACAGAGAGGCAACAUGUUGCACUGUUUUUGUCUAUCUACUUGCAGCAAAUGGGACAGAAUGCCCACCAAACAGUUAAAUGUAUCCUGCUGUAUAGAAAUUCAUUAUAGCUAACCCUGCAAACAGGCCUGUGCUGGUCUUUGAUAAAGAGUGUGCUUGCUGAAGAGAUACAUGUAAGCUGAUUUAAACCCAAUUCCCAGUUAUAUCACUUGCAGAGGAAGUGCAGCAAUAAGGAUCUGGAGUUCCAUUUGGCUCUGGAGUGAAUACUACUUGUCUUAAUGGGCUCCCUUUGGCCUAGCAUCUUUUUCUCUGAAUGACCAAGCUCAUUGAGUACUAAACCUUGAGAGUAUGCUCGAGUGACAUUGUUUGUUGCAGAGGUGUUGUUUGUGUUUAGAGCACCAUUGAGUGAAUUUGUCAUUUUCAUUCUUUUCAUAAACACGUCCCCAUCUUCUCUUUGCAAAAAGUCUUACAAAGGGUGAACAUACCCUUCAUAUUGUUUUACAACAAAAUGUACUCAAACUUCGCAUCUUGCAUCACUAGUCUUAUCUAAUUUCUUGAGCAUCCACUUUUAACCUUAGCCUGCCGGCAUCACUAGCUAGGCUAUAUCCCUACUGCUGUUUUGCGCUCUUUAACAUUUUUUGUUUCACCCUCUAUAUGUCACUUGUCUGUCUAACUUUGAUCGGAGGCGAAGAAUCGGGUAAGGCAAAACAUCCAGAUGAUCCAGCCAGUCGAGCUCCAGUAGAAAAGAGUUGUGCUCGAAACCUUCUGGGCUGACACUUUCUCAUCUGAGUUCAGCGCAUUCUUCACAAAGAACAGCUUAAUGGAAGGCGAUGCAGAAGAAGCCUUUUCUGUGUUCUGCCAACGAGAAGAGUUGUUUGAGAUAUGCUAACGUUCAUCUGGACAAGCCUGAAUCAUUUUGGAAAAUAUGCUGUGGACAGAUGCCCCAUCCAAAGGCACUUUGCAUGGUGGAAAUAAAACACAGCAUUUCAUGAGAAGAAAAAACUCCCUACUGUAAAUAUGGUGAAGGGUGCAUCAUGCUGUGUGAAUAUGUGGCAAGCACAGCUACUGGAAACCUUGUCAGAGUUAAAGGUCGCAUGGAUUCCACCCAGUAUCAGCAGAUUCUGAAGAAUAAUGUUCAGAAAUCAGCAAACGGGCUGAGGUUACGGCAGGGUUGGAUGUUUCAGCACGACAAUGACCCAGAACAUGGUUCCAGAUUUACCAAGUAAUUCAUGCUUAGACACGAUACAAUGUUCUAGAAUGCUGGGAUGGCCAUUCUAGAACAUUUUGUCGUGUCUGAGCAUAACUUGAACAUCAUCGAAAAUUUAUGGAUUGAUUUGAAAAGCACUGUUUGUGCUUGGCACAAACUUUUGCAAGAAGGAAUGUUCCAAAAUGCCAUCUGCGGCUUCCGGUUCCGGCGAGUGAGGGAAUGGCAGCAUAGUGCAUCGUCUCCUCCGACGAAGAUAUUAAUAACCCCACUUAAACUUGAGAAAAACCCCUAACUGUUUCAAAAUAAUCGAUAAUAGUGGGGCAACAAUGGAGACGAAAAAAAAGAGCAGGAAAACCAACACGGAACUUGUGGAAAUUGAAGGCAGACAGCAAGUAGGCACCGCUGGAACACAUGCGUUAGCACAGCAACACAAUGCUAAUCGUCAACAGCCUAGUAACCCUGACAACACGUAUAUCAAUCUGGAACGAAUCCUGGAGGAAAUUCAAGACUUUCGGAAGGACAACAACCGCCAGUUGGAUGAAAUCAAAACCGAAUUAAAUAAAACUAAUCAAAGAAUCAGCCACGCAGAGGAUCGUAUUGAAGAAACUGAAACCCGAUUGCAAAACGUGGAGGAAAUCAUGCAAAAAAUCAUUAAAAUACAAUCGCAAUUGGAAAACAAACAAAUUGACCAAGAAGGCAGAUCAAGAAGAGACAAUAUAAGGAUAUACAACGUGCCUGAAGAUGCAGAGAAAAACUCUAUGGUUGAUUUCGUAGAACAACUGUUGCGGGACACUUUGGAUUUUCCCCCAGACAGGGAGCUGUAUGUAGAAAGAGCCCAUCGGGCGCUCGUGCCGAAACCCAGAACGAAUGCAAAACCUAGAUCGAUCAUAGUAAAAUUCCUCAGGUACAGAACGAAAGAAGAAGUGAUCCGGAAGGCAUGGGCGAAAAAAGAAAUCCUCAUGGGAGAGCAAAAAAUAUACUUCGAUCAUGACUAUCCUCCCGCGGUUCUCCAGAAAAGGAAGGAUUACUCACAGGUGAAAAAAGUACUUAAAGAAAAGAAGAUCCGAUUCCAAACUCCAUAUCCAGCAAGACUACGGGUGUACUAUGAGGACGGGGUUCACACGUACCAUACAGCUGAAGAGGCAUACACAGACAUGGUGAAAAAAGGGUUCCGAUGGAAAAAAAGCCGCAGACAGAAUCGUUAAUGGAACAACUCAAACACACGUCGUGGGAAACUGUCUCGCAUAAAAAGACAAAAGAGAAAACAAAUCAACAAGCGACUGACAUCCGAGAGCGUCUACAGGCAUAUAGAAGAUAAUUUAAGUCUGUCUACGCCAUCUGCAACAAACACUUGAAUUGGUACAUUUUUAUGAACCGCAAAACUUGAGAUAAUUUCUGCUCUUUUUUUUCUUUUUUUUUUCUCUGUAUCGCUCAAUAAUGUCAUAUUACGUCGGACACGUGAGGUAUGUUUUCUUUCAUCUCAUGUAAAUACGGUGAACUGGGGGGCCCUGAAUAUCACCACAGAAAGAAAGGUCUCCCUCCCACGCUAGAUAUCAUCAGACUGUCCCAGGGUUGUUUGUUUGAGACCCCUAACUUGGAAGCUCAAUAUGUUCAUCAGGUUCUUGUAGUGUUUGUUAUUGUUUCGUAUAUUGUUCUCCAGGGUUAUUGUCUUCCUUACUCAAGAGAUAUUGAAAUACUAAACCAACAUAAGUGACGAGACAAAAAUAAUUUCAUUUAAUGUUAAUGGCCUACUUAAUCCAAUCAAAAGGAAAAAAAUAUUGACUAAAAUGAAGAAAGAAAAUGCCCAUAUAGUAUACUUACAAUAGACACACCUGAAUAAUUCAGAACAUGAAAAACUUAAAAGAAUGGAAUUUACCCAGAUCUAUUACUCAUCAUACCCUACAGGGUACAGGAGAGGGGUUAUAAUAUUGAUUUCUCAUAAAGUUAUUUUUGAAAAAAAAUAUGAAUAUGCUGACAAAGAAGGUCGUUUUAUUCUGGGUAAGGGCAAACUAAAUGGAACAUAUGUUAUUUUGUUAAUAUUUAUGGUCCUCCUAAUAGUAAAAUUAAUCUCUUUCAAAAUAUAUUUCAGACCAUAGCCUCUGAAACGCAGGGUAUUCUGAUCUGUGGGGGUGAUCUAAAUAUACACCUACAACCUGAUUUAGACUCCACAAAUAAGAAAAUAAUUUUUCCCAAACCUAUUCUUCGGAAAAUUAAUGUAAUGAUGAAUGAUAUUGGCAUAAUUGAUAUAUGGAGAGACUUGUAUCCAAAUACAAAAGAUUAUACACAUUUUUCUUCUCCGCAUAAUACUUACUCAAGGAUUGAUUAUUACCUUAUGUUUAAAACAGAUAGAGCCAGAGUUACGAGUUGUGAUAUUGGAACUAUAGAUAUUAGUGAUCAUGCUCCAGUCUAUUUAAAACUACAAUUAAAUAGCAAAUACAAAGACACACUAUGGAAAUUUAAACUAAACCUUCUUAAUAAUCCAAAGAGGUCACUCCUCCUAUACUGUGGGAUGCCGCAAAAGCAGUAUUAAGAGGGAAAACUAUAUCAUUUGCUUCACGAAACAAGAAACUCCGGCAACAGGAAUUAAACAAAUUACAGCAUCAACUAAAAUCAUUAGAAAAGGAACACAAGAUUAAUCAAAACCCAAAAAUAUUAAAACAAAUUAAAAAAGUACAGAAUGAAAUUAAUAUGCUAUAUACUCAAGAGGUUGAGAAAAAAAUAUCAUUCCCCAGGCAAAAAUAUUAUGAAAGUGGCCCCACAUUUAUGAAAAUAUUGGCAUGGAAAUUAAGAAAACAACAAAUAGACCAAACAAUAUAUAGAAUCAGAGAUCCUGUGACCAAUACAAUACAAAACAAACAAGAGAAUAUUCAAACUGUUUUUGAAAUGUUUUACAAAAAAAUUAUACUCUAAAAUGCCUGAAGAUAAAAACAAAGAAAUUGACAUUUUUCUUGAUAAAUUGGAACUACCAACACUAACUGAUGAACAAAACAAAUUAUUGACAGCAGAAAUAACAGAAACCGAAGUAAAAAAGGCCAUUACUAAGCUUAAAUUUAACAAAUCUCCAGGACCAGAUGGAUUUACUGGGGAGUGGUAUAGGGCAUUCCAAAAAGAGAUAAUACCCAUCUUGGCCCGGUCCUAUAAUUGGACCCUAAAAAAUGUGACUGUUCCACCAUCAUGGAAAGAAGCAAUAAUAUCUAUCAGAUAUAAUUAACUAAUAGAUAUAAUUAAAAAAGCUCACACAUCAGGUAUAAAGUACAAAAUAGUCCCUCUGAUAUAUAAGAGUCUGAGAAGUAUGAAAACACAAUCCACAAAUUAUAUAAAAGAAAAAUGGGAGACAGAAAGUGGAACAACAUUCACUGAUGAAGAGUAGACAAAUAUAUGGGAAUUUCAAUGGAAAUCAACAAGCUCAUUAAACUGGAAAGAAAACUGUUGGAAAAACAUUAUUAGAUAUUUCAAAACACCAGCACUAACAGCUAAAUAUACAAAUAAGUCUCCAAAAUGCUGGCGUAACUGCGGAUGCAAUAAAGCAAACCAUUAUCA